rnacentral:rRNA from 1 species
ACGAACGCUGGCGGCAUGCCUAACACCUGCAAGUCGAACGAGACCUUCGGGUCUAGUGGCGCACGGGUGCGUCACGCGUGGGAACCUGCCCUUAGGUUCGGAAUAACUCCCCGAAAGGGGUGCUAAUACCGGAUAAUGUCUUCGGACCAAAGAUUUAUCGCCUUUGGAUGGGCCCGCGUUGGAUUAGCUAGUUGGUAGGGUAAAAGCCUACCAAGGCGACGAUCCAUAGCUGGUCUGAGAGGAUGAUCAGCCACACUGGGACUGAGACACGGCCCAGACUCCUACGGGAGGCAGCAGUGGGAAAUAUUGGACAAUGGGCGAAAGCCUGAUCCAGCAAUGCCGCGUGAGUGAUGAAGGCCUUAGGGUUGUAAAGCUCUUUUACCCGGGAUGAUAAUGACAGUACCGGGAGAAUAAGCUCCGGCUAACUCCGUG